rnacentral:rRNA from 1 species
UACGUAGGGAGCAAGCGUUGUCCGGAAUCAUUGGGCGUAAAGCGCGCGUAGGUGGCUCUAUCAGUCCGUUGUGAAAGUCAAAGGCUCAACCUUUGAAAGCCGAUGGAUACUGUAGAGCUAGAGUCUGGAAGAGGCGAGUGGAAUUCCUGGUGUAGCGGUGGAAUGCGCAGAUAUCAGGAGGAACACCAAUAGCGAAGGCAGCUCGCUGGGACAUGACUGACACUAAGGCGCGAAAGCGUGGGGAGCGAACAGG